rnacentral:rRNA from 1 species
CCUACGGGUGGCAGCAGUGGGGAAUAUUGGGCAAUGGAGGAAACUCUGACCCAGCAACGCCGCGUGAAGGAUGAAGGUUUUCGGAUUGUAAACUUCUGUCGCGAGGGAUGAAGAAUGACGGUACCUCGUAAGACCGCCCCGGCAAACUACGUGCCAGCAGCCGCGGUAAUACGUAGGGGGCGAGCGUUGUCCGGAAUGACUGGGCGUAAAGGGAGUGUAGGCGGGAAAGCAAGUCAGAAGUGAAAACUAUGGGCUUAACCCAUAGCCUGCUUUUGAAACUGUUUUUCUUGAGUGAAGUAGAGGCAAGCGGAAUUCCUAGUGUAGCGGUGAAAUGCGUAGAUAUUAGGAGGAACACCAGUGGCGAAGGCGGCUUGCUGGGCUUUGACUGACGCUGAGGCUCGAAAGCGUGGGGAGCAAACAGGAUUAGAUACCCGAGUAGUC